UGGGGAAUUUUGGACAAUGGGCGAAAGCCUGAUCCAGCCAUGCCGCGUGAGUGAAGAAGGCCUUCGGGUUGUAAAGCUCUUUUAGUCGGAAAGAAAGAGUUGCAAUGAAUAAUUGUGAUUUAUGACGGUACCGACAGAAAAAGCACCGGCUAACUACGUGCCAGCAGCCGCGGUAAUACGUAGGGUGCGAGCGUUAAUCGGAAUUACUGGGCGUAAAGGGUGCGCAGGCGGUCUUGCAAGUCAGAUGUGAAAGCCCCGGGCUUAACCUGGGAAGUGCGUUUGAAACGACAAGACUAGAGUGCAGCAGAGGGGAGUGGAAUUCCAUGUGUAGCAGUGAAAUGCGUAGAGAUGUGGAAGAACACCGAUGGCGAAGGCAGCUCCCUGGGUUGACACUGACGCUCAUGCACGAAAGCGUGGGGAGCAAACA
rnacentral:rRNA from 1 species